GCUGCCGUCGCUAUCUCGGACUGUCAGAUCAUACUGGAUGACCAGCCCCUCCAGGUGCUUGAUGAUGCACCUGUGAGGAGACACCCUGCUCAGCGCCCACAGGCCACACAAGGAGUCAUUUAAAAGCGACUGUAUCAUCCAAAGAAUCCUCAGUGACACGUGACAAGUGCAAGGUCCUGGGAAACCAACCCCGCUCACCAGAGGCUACAGGUGCUUUUACCUUUGGAGAUAGCCAGACCGGCUGGUUUUGACAGCGGUGUCCACCAGGCCUUCUCGUCCCGCCAUGCAGUGAAAGAAGAACUCCUACGGGAGUGUGGGAGCCAAACCUCAGAGGUGGCAGUGAGCACAGUGUACUCCCUAGAAGGCCACUCAGGUGCCACCCACGCACCCUUCCCGAGCCAUGCAGACUGCUCCCUCCAGAGAUCCUAGAACCCUAGCUUUCACAAGCCUUGGGAUCCCUCUCUUCCCUGCCUGAGGUAGAGGUGGAUCAAAAGCAGCAGGAGCUGAAAGCCCUACAUGUACUAUGCCAUCCUCAAGACACUUCAUGCCACAUUUCCAGUGAGAAGCAAAGCAAAUGCUCAAUAACAUCCUAUAAAUUCCAUGCUUGGAUCCAGCAA